AACAACUUUCCUGUGGAGCAUCAAAAUUCUUGUUUCUCUGUGUUAAGCACACAGAAUAAAGAAUCAGGAUGAUGCCCCACAACAUUUGCCUAUGUAUUAGAAAGCCAUCCUGAGGUACAUGGAAGGAAAUUGUGAUCUAUCUGGCCCCAAGGGAUGAUGGAAAAAAGAGAUAAAAUGGAAAUACAAACUGUGAGCAGUUUCUGCUCUGAACUGUAAACACCAAUGCGGAAUUUAUGACAGAUUGUGUGGCUCUAUUUUGUUGGUCUUUGGAACUGAGGUCAAAAUUAAGGGGGGCACUUGGGGGAAUUCGUAUUGUGCCACUAAAGGUAAAUUCUUGGACCGGUGAAAGACUGAUCAGAUGGAAAGCAUUUGCCAAUAAUGUUUUCAUUGAUCAAGAAAGAAAGUCAGAGGUUUGAAGAUGAUCAGAAAGCAUCUUAGUUCUGACCACAAACAAUGCCAACUGAGAGAUGCAGUGGUGUUAUUUCCAUGACCCUCCCAGGCAGCUUCCUGGAAACCUAAGUGUUUGGGUUUGGAGGGAGUAUGGUUGCAAAGCUGAAACUUAAGGGAAUUGAUGGAAGGGCACCACUAGGAGUGGACCUUCACCUUAGUUUGACUCAACUUGGGAGACCUCACCUGGACCAGACACAGACAGGAUUGACAGAUUGAUAGCUCUUUCUUGAAUCCGUGGGUGGUGGUGCAUGGCCAUUCUUAUUUGGUGGAUUGAUUUGUCUGGUUAUUUCCAAUAAGGAAGGAGACUCUGGCAUGCUAACUAGUUAAGUGAACCCGGAGUGGUCAGCAUCCCCCAACUUCUUAGAGGGACAAGUGGCAUUCAGCCACCUGAGAUUGAGCAAUAACAGGUCUGUGAUGCCCUUAGAUGUCUGAGGUUGAAUGCACACUACACUGCCUGGCUCAGCCUGUGCCUACUCUAAGCCAGCAGGAGUGAGUAACCCAUUGAACCCCAUUUGUGAUGGGGAAGGGGGAUUGCAAUUAUUCCCCAUGAAUGAGGAAUACGCAGUAAGUGCUGGUCAUAAGCUUGCAUUAAUUAAGUCCCUGUCCUUUUUGCACACUACCAAUUUGGUGGUUUAGUGAGGCCCUCAGAUCAGCCCUGCAGGGGUCUGCCCAUGGCCCUGGUUGAGUGCUGAGAAGAAGUCGAACUUGGCUAUCUAGAGGAAUUAAAAGUCCCAAAAAGUUUUCUGCAGGUGAACCUGCAGAAGGAUCAUUA
rnacentral:ncRNA from 1 species